rnacentral:ncRNA from 12 species
UAAGUUAGAAGUUGAAAUAGUUGUUAUUAAUUAAUGAUGCGGUCCCAACGCAUCAAGCCCUAAUUGGGAGGUGAUAAGUGAUGUGGGGGUGGCAGUCCCACCUAACCUA